rnacentral:rRNA from 1 species
UCGGUAACGUUAACGGCGGAAGGUCAUUUACGAGUUUUGAAGGGGUUGUAGCUUCGGCCUUCCGAGGCAUGUGCACGCCCUGCUCAUUCCACUCUACACCUGUGCACUUACUGUGGGUCUCAGGCGAGCGUCGGUCCGCUUCGCGGCGUCGUCGUUCAACUGGGCUCACGUUUUACUACAAACUAUUAAAGUAUCAGAAUGUCUACUGCGAAUUAACGCAUUUAAAUACAACUUUCAGCAACGGAUCUCUUGGCUCUCGCAUCGAUGAAGAACGCAGCGAAAUGCGAUAAGUAAUGUGAAUUGCAGAAUUCAGUGAAUCAUCGAAUCUUUGAACGCACCUUGCGCUCCUUGGUAUUCCGAGGAGCAUGCCUGUUUGAGUGUCAUGAAAUUCUCAACCUAACGAGUCUUUGCGGGCUCGGUAGGCUUGGACUUGGAGGUUCUUGUCGGCCUAACGGUCGGCUCCUCUUAAAUGCAUUAGCUCGGUUCCUUGCGGAUCGGCUCACGGUGUGAUAAUUGUCUACGCCGCGACCGUUGAAGCGUUUUGGCCGGCUUCUAAUCGUCUCGUUGGAGACACUACUCUUUAUGACCUUCUGACCUCAAAUCAGGUAGGACUACCCGCUGAACUUAAGCAUAU